AGAUGUGGUAUGAUUGCCAUGUUGAGACAACUCUCCACAAGAGACCAAAAUGACACAGAGAUUAACAACUAUAGGUCACCGUACGGCCUUCAAAAACGAGCAAGGCCCAUACCACAUACUCAGCUUUAAAAGUCCCCGAAAUGACAAUGUAAAACAAUUCAAACGAGAAAAUUAGCGGCCUUAUUUAUGUAAAAAAAAUGAACGAAAAACAAAUAUGUAACACAUAAAGAAACAACAACCA
rnacentral:lncRNA from 1 species